rnacentral:rRNA from 1 species
AUCUUUUAGUGUUAAUUAAAAGUGUGCUCUGCUCAAUGCUUAGUAAAUAGCCGCAGUAUUUUGACUGUGCAAAGGUAGCAUAAUAAUUAGUCUUGUAAUUUGAGACUGGAAUGAAAGAGUUAACUAGAGGAAAUUUAUCUUGAAUGUAAAUUUUGAAUUUUACUUUUUAGUAAGAAGGCUAAAAUAAUUCUUUUAGACAAGAAGACCCUAUAAAGUUUAACAUAGAAAAAUUUAAAAUAUUCUUAUUAUGUUUGACUGGGGCGGUAGGAAAAUAAACAUUUUUAGAUUUUAAAAAUUUGAAGUUUUUAUACCCAAAAUUUUUGAAGAUUAAAUAAAUUACUUUAGGGAUAACAGCGUUAUAUAUUUAGAAAGUUCAAAUUGACAAAUAUGUUUGCGACCUCGAUGUUGGAUUAGGUUUCCUUCAUUGUGUAAGAGUAAUGAAAGGGGGUCUGUUCGACCCUUAAAAAUCUCCA